GAUGAACGCUGGCGGCGUGCCUAAUACAUGCAAGUCGAGCGAACAGACGAGGAGCUUGCUCCUCUGACGUUAGCGGCGGACGGGUGAGUAACACGUGGAUAACCUACCUAUAAGACUGGGAUAACUUCGGGAAACCGGAGCUAAUACCGGAUAAUAUAUUGAACCGCAUGGUUCAAUAGAGAAAGACGGUUUUGCUGUCACUUAUAGAUGGAUCCGCGCCGCAUUAGCUAGUUGUUAAGGUAACGGCUUACCAAGGCGACGAUGCGUAGCCGACCUGAGAGGGUGAUCGGCCACACUGGAACUGAGACACGGUCCAGACUCCUACGGGAGGCAGCAGUAGGGAAUCUUCCGCAAUGGGCGAAAGCCUGACGGAGCAACGCCGCGUGAGUGAUGAAGGUCUUCGGAUCGUAAAACUCUGUUAUUAGGGAAGAACAAAUGUGUAAGUAACUAUGCACGUCUUGACGGUACCUAAUCAGAAAGCCACGGCUAACUACGUG
rnacentral:rRNA from 1 species